rnacentral:rRNA from 1 species
AUGCAAGUGGUAGGAACCGAAAGGCGACCGACCCUCGGGAGCUUGCACAGGUGCUGCAUGGCUGUCGUCAGCUCGUGUCGUGAGAUGUUCGGUUAAGUCCGCUAACGAGCGCAACCCUCGCUGUGUGUUACAAGUGUCACACGGUACUGCCGGUCUUAAGCCGGAGGAAGGUGGGGAUGACGUCAAGUCAGCAUGGCCUUUAUGUCCUGGGCUACACACACGCUACAAUGGCCAACACAAUAGGUUGCUAAGCCGCGAGGUGGAGCCAAUCCUCAAAGUUGGUCUCAGUUCAGAUUGCAGGCUGCAACCCGCCUGCAUGAAGAUGGAGUUGCUGGUAACCGCAGGUCAGCUAUACUGCGGUGAAUACGUUCCCGGGUCUU